rnacentral:misc_RNA from 1 species
GCUACUACCGAUUGAAUGGUUUAGUGAGGACUCCUGAUUGGCGCCGCCGCCCCGGCAACGGAGCAGCGGACUGCCGAAAAGUUGUUCGAACUUGAUCAUUUAGAGGAAGUAAAAGUCGUAACAAGGUUUCCGUAGGUGAACCUGCAGAAGGAUUCA